GUUCAGGGGAAGCUAACAGAGCUGGGCCUGAGGGAGAAGACUUAAUCUCAAGGUCUUCUAAAGCUGAAUCUGGCUGUUCAAAGGAGUACCCAGCAUUAAAUGAUAGAUAUUAAGAGAAUAAAUCAGAGGUCCCUGACACCCUGACACCCUGUGUGUGGUCGAGAAGUUGAGCAGAGAAUGUGGAGCCUUUGGGACACACCAGAGUGUGGCCCUGGCCAGAAAACCCGCAAUUACUUCACAUCAUAAUCAUCCUCACGCGACAGCCACCAGGUUCCAGAUGCUAACAUGGUGCCAACCUGACUUCCCUGGACAGACAACCCCGCCAAUGUGUCCUGGAGUGCCACUCCCCACAGCCCACCCCACUAGGGAAAGAGAGAGACAAGCUGGGAGUAUGGAUCUUCCUGACAAUGCCCAUGUUCAGUGGAGAAGCAAUUCCAGAAGCCUGACCUUCCACCUUCUGCACCCCAUAAUGACCCUGUGUCCAUACUCCCAGAGAGAUAAAGAAUAGGAAAGCUAUCGGGAGGGGAUGGGAUACGGAGUUCUGGUGGUGGGAAUUGUGUGGAGUUGUACCCUUCUUAUCC